UACUUUGGAACAGGACCUUGUAAUGCUGUA
rnacentral:piRNA from 2 species